rnacentral:rRNA from 1 species
GACAGAGGAUGCAAGCGUUAUCCGGAAUGAUUGGGCGUAAAGCGUCUGUAGGUGGCUUUUUAAGUCCGCCGUCAAAUCCCAGGGCUCAACCCCUGGACAGGCGGUGGAAACUACCAAGCUGGAGUACGGUAGGGGCAGAGGGAAUUUCCGGUGGAGCGGUGAAAUGCGUAGAGAUCGGAAAGAACACCAACGGCGAAGGCACUCUACUGGGCCACUACUGACACUGAGAGACGAAAGCUAGGGGAGCAAAUGGG